AUUGAACGCUGGCGGCAGGCCUAACACAUGCAAGUCGAGCGAGCGGCGGACGGGUGAGUACUGUCUGGGAAACUGCCUGAUGGAGGGGGAUAACUACUGGAAACGGUAGAUAAUACCGCAUAACAUCAGCUGUGCCCAGAGGGGAUUAGCUAGUGGGGGGGGUAACGGCUCAACUAGGCGACGAUCCCUAGCUGGGCUGAGAGGAUGAUCAGCCACACUGGAACUGAGACACGGUCCAGACUCCUACGGGAGGCAGCAGUGGGGAAUAUUGCACAAUGGGCGCAAGCCUGAUGCAGCCAUGCCGCGUGUGUGAAGAAGGCCUUCGGGUUGUAAAGCACUGUCAGCGGGGAGGCGUUACCCGCAGAAGAAGCACCGGCUAACUCCGUGCCAGCCGCCGCGGUAAUAC
rnacentral:rRNA from 1 species